rnacentral:rRNA from 1 species
AUUGAACGCUGGCGGAAUGCUUUACACAUGCAAGUCGAACGGCAGCACGGGGCAACCUGGUGGCGAGUGGCGAACGGGUGAGUAAUACAUCGGAACGUGCCCAAUCGUGGGGGGAUAACGUAGCGAAAGUUACGCUAAUACCGCAUACGAUCUACGGAUGAAAGCGGGGGAUCGCAAGACCUCGCGCGAGUGGAGCGGCCGAUGUCAGAUUAGGUAGUUGGUGGGGUAAAGGCUCACCAAGCCAACGAUCUGUAGCUGGUCUGAGAGGACGACCAGCCACACUGGAACUGAGACACGGUCCAGACUCCUACGGGAGGCAGCAGUGGGGAAUUUUGGACAAUGGGCGCAAGCCUGAUCCAGCCAUUCCGCGUGCAGGAUGAAGGCCUCGGGUUGUAACUAGCUUUGUUACGGAACGAAACGGACGAGCUCUAAUACAGUUUGUCUAAUGACGGUACCGUAAGAAUAAGCACGGCUAACUACGUAGCCAGCAGCCGCGGUAAU